AUUGAACGCUGGCGGCGUGCUUAACACAUGCAAGUCGAUCGGUAACAGGUGUAGCAAUACAUGCUGACGAGAGGCGGACGGGUGAGGAAUAUUUGGGAAUCUGCCCCUCAGCGGGGGACAACCCGGGGAAACCCGGGCUAAUACCGCAUACGCUCUCCGGAGGAAAGCCGGGGACCGCAAGGCCUGGCACUGAUGGAUGAGCCGAAGUCGGAUUAGCUAGUUGGCGGGGGAACGGCCCACCAAGGCGACGAUCCGUAGCUGGUCUGAGAGGUCGACGAGCCACACCGGAACGGAGACACGGACCGGACUCCUCCGGGGGGCAGCCGUGGGGAAUACUGGACAAUGGGGGAAACCCUGAUCCCGCGACGGCGCGUGGGUGAAGAAGGCCUGCGGGUUGUAAAGCCCUUUCGGUAGGGACGAAAGCUCUUGCUCUAACAAGGCAGGAGGUUGACUUAACCUACAUAAGAAGCACCGGCUAACUCUGUGCCAGCAGCCGCCGUAACAC
rnacentral:rRNA from 1 species